UACGUAGGGGGCAAGCGUUGUCCGGAUUUAUUGGGCGUAAAGAGCUCGUAGGCGGCUCGUUGCGUCGGCUGUGAAAACCCGCAGCUCAACUGUGGGCUUGCAGCCGAUACGGGCGGGCUAGGAUUCGGUAGGGGAGACUGGAAUUCCAGGUGUAGCGGUGAAAUGCGCAGAUAUCAGGAGGAACACCGAUGGCGAAGGCAGGUCUCUGGGCCACUACUGACGCUGAGAAGCGAAAGCAUGGGGAGCGAACAGG
rnacentral:rRNA from 1 species